rnacentral:lncRNA from 1 species
CUUAACUGGACCACAGGAUGCCCAGACUUUUAGCCAAACAUUAUCCUGUGUGUGUCUGGGAGACUGUUUCUGGAUGACAUGGACAUUUGAAUCCAUAGACUGAGUAAAGCAGAUUGCCCUCCCGAAUGGAGGUAGGCCUCAUCUAGUGAGGUGAAGACGUGACUACAAUGAAAAGGCUGAGUAAGAGGGAAUGCGUCCUACCUGACUUGUUUGAGUUGGGAUCAUGGUCUUUCUCAGCCUUCAGACUCGGACUGAAACAGCAGCUCUUCUUGGAUCUCCAGCCUGCCGACUUUCAGCUUGGAACUUAUGCCAUCAGCUCUCAUGGUUCUCAGACCUUCAGACUUGAACUAGAACUACAAACCAGUUUUCCUGGGUCUCCAACUUGUGGACUGCACGUCUUGGGACUUCUCAGCCUCCCUAAUUGUACUUUGCCCUGAACUGGGAGGCAGAAAAUCUAGGAUCUAGCUCUGGUCCUGUCUGCAGAAAGCGAGAAGGAGCUGACAAAAUGAAUGCCCACUAUUCUCCAGAGUUCUCCUGCCAACCACAGACCAAGAAUCUUCCCCAUCGAUAUCAAAGCGGAGAAGAACAACUGCCAUGAGAGAAUGACAAACUGCAGCCAGGACUGCGUAUGGACAGCGAGCUAGUUCUCACAGAAGCUUUCAGCCUGCUGGUUACACAGCAUCUGCCUUCAUAUACCUGGAACCCUACAAAAGACAGGAAAUGAGGUCUCUGUUUUACUGGUAUUUGUUUCUCUACGCAAUUGGACUGACCCUCCAGCAAGAACUGAGAGAACUGGUAUUAUUCC